rnacentral:piRNA from 1 species
UGAGAUGGUGUCAGUAACGUACAUUUCAUGU